rnacentral:rRNA from 1 species
UUCCGUAGGUGAACCUGCGGAAGGAUCAUUAACACUAAUCCAUCUCAACUCAACAAAGCCUUCAGUUGCAGCAGUGGUGCGUUCGCGUACAGCUGCCGCAGCAACUUACAAAACUAAUCUAAACAAAGAUAACUAAGUAAAACCAACCACUAAAACCAAAUUCUCAACGGUGGAUGUCUUGGUUCCCACAACGAUGAAGAACGCAGCGAAGUGCGAUAAGCAGUGCGAAUUGCAGAACCGUGAGUCAUCAGAUUUUUGAACGCAACUGGCGCCGCCCGGGGUGACCCGACGGCACGCCUGGUCCAGUGUCUUGUUCUCUCCUCACCCAAAUCAUAAUGCGAGAGAUGCCCUUCUCUUGCUAAGCAUGAAAGCACUCUGCACUCUGCGAGCGGCCUUCGGGUCGCACUCAAUGCAGCAGUCACAUUUUCAUAAUGUGAACUCAUUGAGAGUGGAGGCAGUGCAGCGACAGCUGCCAGUGCUUAGACACACCAACUUAGGUACAGCAUCUGGGCUCAGGUGGGACCACCCGCUGAACUUAAGCAUAUCAAUAAGCGGAGGAA